AGAUACCCUACUAUGCCUAAGCCAUAAACACCUCAUCCGCCAGAAGACAACGAGCAAAGCUUAAAACUCAAAGGACUUGGCGGCACCCCAUACCACCCUAGAGGGGCCUGUCAUAUAAUCGAUAACCCACGAUAAACCCAACCCCCCUUAGCCGACUCAGCCUAUAUACCGCCGUCGCCAGCCCAUCUUAAAAAGAAGCGCAAUGGACAAAAUAGUCUUGCACUAACACGACAGGUCAAGGUGUAGCCCAUGGGGGGGGAACUGAUGGACCACAUUGCUGUCAAAAGCCAAACCAAAAUUACACUGAAAACAUAAUUUAAGGUGAAUUUAGCAGUAAAAAGAACAAGAAAAUUUAUCUGAAAAAUGCCCUGGAGUGUGCACACACCGCCCGGCAC
rnacentral:rRNA from 1 species